rnacentral:lncRNA from 1 species
GUGAUUAGACUAUGUGCUGACUAUAAUAGACAGUACUAUGUGUUAUGAUAUAUUAUUCUAAUCGAACGAAUGAUCUGAUUAUUGAUAGGUUGUGAUAAAAGAGAUAGAAUCUAAGUUGAGAUUUGUAAUAAGCAAAUCAGGCAAGUAUCUUACCUUUGCAUUUCCUUUAUGCAAUGGACAUGAGUAAAAAGUUUCAGGAUUAUUCAAUUCCUGUACAGAUUAUGUACGCUUUGAUUAUCAACAUGUUAGCUCAGAUAUAUAUUCUGUUAAGUUGAUUUCUAAAUGGUUAUACAAGUGUCCCCAUUUGGAUAAUCAUGGCAUUUAUUCACAUGUUGAUACACUUUUUCAAUUACCCAUAUAUAUAUAUAUAUAUAUGUUGAAUUACAUAUUAUUGUUGAGCAAGAUUAAAAACCUUAGGGUUUGGAACCAGGCAUGUAUGAACAUCCCUAUAUGGAAAAAUUUUUGCGCCCGAGGCGGAUAGAGUGAACGAUGAAUCGUCGUUCAGGUUAUG